rnacentral:rRNA from 1 species
CGCCUCUUGCAAGAAUAAGAGGUCCCGCCUGCCCAGUGACAAUAUGGUUCAACGGCCGCGGUAUUUUGACCGUGCAAAGGUAGCGUAAUCACUUGUCUUUUAAAUGAAGACCUGUAUGAAUGGCAUAACGAGGGCUUAACUGUCUCCUCUUUCCAGUCAGUGAAAUUGAUCUCCCCGUGCAGAAGCGGGGAUGAAUACAUAAGACGAGAAGACCCUAUGGAGCUUUAGACACCAAGACAGAUCAUGUUAAGCACCCCGCACAUAACGACUCAAACUUAUUGAUCCUCUGUCCUAAUGUCUUCGGUUGGGGCGACCAUGGGGUAGCAUAAAACCCCCAUGCGGAAUGAGAGGACUCCUACAAGUAAGAGCCACAGCUCUAACUAACAGAAUUUCUGACCUUACAUGAUCCGGCUUCCGCCGAUCAACGGACCAAGUUACCCUAGGGAUAACAGCGCAAUCCCCUUUUAGAGCCCAUAUCGACAAGGGGGUUUACGACCUCGAUGUUGGAUCAGGACAUCCUAAUGGUGCAG